ensembl:lncRNA
UUGAUAAGCUGUCUGGUGGGAGAGGUUCUGAUCUAAAGAUUAGAACAAUCAUUACCUGGGGCCAGGGGCAAGAAUGUAGGAAGGUCUUCCCCAAUGACUCAGCAGUAAAGAAUCCACCUGCAAUGCUGGAGACACAGGUUCAGUCCUUGGGUUGAGAAGAUCCCCUGGAGGAGGAAUUUGCAACCCACUCCAAUGUUCUUGCCUGGGAAAUCCCAUGGACAGGGGAGCCUAGCAGGCUACACAGUCCAUGGGGUUGCAAAAGAGUAGGAACCAACUUGGUGACUAAACAACAACAAUCUUUUGACUAUCUGGUUUUUGUUGCAAAACUCCUGUAUAUCCUGGCUCCUCCCUUAUAUCUUGGGAGCUGUCCCUUGGAGCUCUCUGAGAAACUGUCGUCCAGGCUUAAGUCUCCAGAAGUUUCACCAAAUAAAACAUAAUUCUCAAACUUUUAUGUUGUGCAUUUUUCAGUCAACACAUAUUUACUUUGACAUCCCAGUGACUCAGAUUGCAAAAACAACCUAACUCCCAUGCUUAGCUCAGUAACAAUGAUAACUAUUUUGGGUGCUUGCUAAGUGCCUGAUCCUGCUGUAAGCACUUUCCAGGCUUCAGCCCUCAUAGCAAACCCAGGGUAGGUUCUAUUAUUAGCUCCAUUUUGCAUAAGAACAAAUUGCCCAAGGUCAA